AAAAUUUGUACUUUGAUUUGGGGAAAUCGUCGGGAAAAUCCCAGUUCUAAAUGGAGUGCAAUUUUUUACCGAAAUCGGAAACCACGUGCAUGUGUCUGCCGAUUAAAGAAAGGUCAUGCUGCGGUGAUAAUUCUAGCCAUGGACCUCUUAUCAAAAUACUGUUAUUUGUUGUCAUAAUUUUAUCACUAGCUGUCACCUAUUUGUUCAUUCAAACUCAUCAACUAAAUGAUGCGCUGCACAAGCUGCAAAUGCAAGAUGCAUCGAUGCAAAAUGGUCAACAUCAUAAUGUUCAAAUUCAGGAACUCAUUAAAACUUUGGAGCAAAGCACACCCGACAUCUACAUGAACUUUGAACAGAAAAGAGAAAAAAGAAACGGUCGAUGGAGAAACGAAGUCAGGGAAGAAAUCAGGAUAAUGAAAGAACAUAUUAGUAACAUAGUUAACACCACUAUCCCAAAUUUGGAAGCUGGAAUAAUGAAGAAAGUGGUUCAUUUGGGAAUGUCUCGGGAUAUGACACAGGAUAUCCUGCAUGCUCCGGUUAAUAAUAUAGACGUCUGUCGUGGUGGCAAACACUGUCUUCGAUGGAGUAAUCCCGAAUCCACUUAUUCACGUACGUUUGAUUACCCAAGAGACAAUGCGUAUGACAUGCCUGUUGCUAUCAAAGUUCGCAGUCCUGGGAUCUAUUUUGUUUAUGCACAAGUCGCCGUCAAUGGACCACAGCAAGGGUACAUAUAAAUACCGUAUACAUUUAAAAAUGAUAUUUUUGUUAAGAGGCCUUCGGAGACUAAAAUCAAAAAUAAGGGAUGUGGAUCGAAACAUGAAAUUUACAAGUAUCCAUGGGUUGAAAGUAAAUAUAGAAAUAUCAUUGUCAUGUUUUAAUUCAUUAUGACCAACCUAGAUUCUCAAUGUUAUUUAAAUUAUGAACCAGAUACGAACCAUCAGUCGGCUUUGAGGCAGUUCUGGUCCGUGGUACUGUAAAUAAGACCUUGACAAAGAGUUACAUUACACAGGAUGAUAGGUUUGUACAAUGAUGUGACACUGUAACUACUAGUAUGUUAUAAUAUAUCAAUCCAGCAGGCUGACUAUGACGAUUUCAAAACUCAUAUCAAUAGAAGUGCAUGAUUUUUGGCGGGAUUCCACAAACACAUUCAUUUUGGCUUUUUCCAGGGGACAGGUGUAUCAUGGUGCAGGUCACGGAGAGCAUCCUUUUGAUACAAUAAAUCUGAUGGGGACAUUCAAGCUUUUGUGUGACGACUACAUAGUAAUCAGGCCUAUUGGGGACCCGAAAUUGGUGUACACAAACACCGAGGCCUCCUAUUUUGGUGUGGUCCAGAUAAAUCCAGCGCGCUCAUUGUUGCAUGGUGACUAUAGCUGUAACCCCCAAGAAUAAUAACUCUUGCAAGUACUUCAAACUAAAUUCAGACAGAUAUCAGUUGUUUCCCUUUAACGUUGGAAUGAACCAAUCAUAUUUUUGUUCCUUAAUUUCAGAUAUGUCAACUAAAGAUAAAUUUUGUAAUUUCCUUGAUCCAUAUCUUGUUAACAUUUUGUAAAUAGAUUUUAAAUAUUCGUAUUCUUAGUGGUACUGGCAGUUCAAUGCACAAAGAUUAUAUAAACUACCGUGAUAUGUAUAUAGAUGUAUCAUGAAGUUGGUAUAGGCUGUAACAGGUGUCACCAACGCCUGAUAUGUUAACUCUUUGAAUUUUAUUCCAUGUAAUUCUGAAUUAUCGAGUUUUAGGUGGUGGGAAAGGAUACUGGUCGAUCUGAGGUUCGUAAUUUAUUAAUCUUUGAUUAGAUUAUUUUGAUAUCAAAAUGUAAAUAUGUAAUGGUGUCGUUACGUAAAUACAUAUAUAUUUUAUCAAAGCGUCUUUCUGUAUAUAACAUCAAUAAUUGUGCACGUUGUUGUGUAAAUUAUUGGUGGCUGGUAUGGAAACGGGUUAGAGAUUGUAUAUUUAUAUAGAAUUUGUGUAUAACUGUGUAUUAUAAUUAUAAUCUUUGUGUAUUAUAAUUAUUACAAGUAUGGCAUCCUGUUUCAUGAAUGUGAUUUACAAAACAUUAUGCAUAUAUUACUGUUAAUAAUUCUCUUGCCUUUUAUAUAUUAUCUGUUGAGUUUCCUGUUGAAUAAAUAUUGUUUCUA
rnacentral:misc_RNA from 1 species